rnacentral:rRNA from 1 species
AUGAGGCACUAUUUUGCGGAUAAUCCCGUGUACCCCGAGUCGUACUUUCGGCGCCGGUUUAGGAUGAGCACCGAGUUGUUCAGCCGCAUUGCAGAGAAACUGGCGAGCCAUGAUCGGUUUUUUCAGCAAAGGAGGAAUGCCGCCGGAGAACUCGGGCAUAACACCUUUCAAAAGGUGACAACCGCUUUGCGUAUGUUGGCAUAUGAUAUUUCAGCUGAUCUAGUUGAUGACCACUUGGCCAUGGGUGAGAGUCAAGCCAUCAUGUGUGGCAAACACUUCACAGUCGGAAUUGUGCAAGUGUUUGGCGUGCCAUUCGACAUGCCAAAACGCAUGAUAAUCUUCAAAAGGAUCUCAUCGAGGAAUGGUGGGCAUGAAAUGGCCGACAAAGGGCAUCAUGAUUUGUAUGUUUGA